rnacentral:RNase_P_RNA from 2 species
GGAGUCGGCCAGGCAAUCGCUGUACUUUUGUGCAGAGGAAAGUCCGGGCUCCAGAGGGCGAGGUGCCAGGUAACACCUGGGGGGCGUGAGCCUACGGAAAGUGCAACAGAGAGUAGACCGCCUAAGCGCUUCGGCGCCGGUAAGGGUGAAAGGGUGCGGUAAGAGCGCACCGCGCGGGUGGCAACAUUCCGCGGCAUGGUAAACCCCACCUGGAGCAAGACCAAAUAGGGGAACAGGCUUUUGCCAGGCGCGGCCCGCGCGGGUUCCCGGGUAGGUUGCUCGAGGUCUGCGGCGACGCAGAUCCCAGAUGAAUGGUUGUCCAAGACAGAACCCGGCUUAUCGGCCGGCUCCCCGC